CACGUAGGGGGCGAGCGUUGUCCGGAUUUAUUGGGCGUAAAGAGCUCGUAGGCGGCUCAGUAAGUCAGGUGUGAAAACUCCAGGCUCAACCUGGAGACGCCACCUGAUACUGCUGUGGCUAGAGUCCGGUGGGGGAGCAUGGAAUUCCUGGUGUAGCGGUGAAAUGCGCAGAUAUCAGGAGGAACACCAGUGGCGAAGGCGGUGCUCUGGGCCGGAACUGACGCUGAGGAGCGAAAGCGUGGGGAGCAAACAGG
rnacentral:rRNA from 1 species